CAAGAACUCCAUGCUGCCGCGAUAAUUAAUAAAAAUGAAAUUCCUCUUUGACUGGCCAAUAGAAAUAUUGGCCAUUUUUUU
rfam:Dendroctonus ponderosae Seq01002686, whole genome shotgun sequence.